rnacentral:rRNA from 1 species
AAUGAACGCUGGCGGCGCGCCUAAUACAUGCAAGUCGAGCGAGAAGACGUAGCAAUACGUUUGUAAAGCGGCGAACGGGUGAGGAAUACAUGGGUAACCUACCCUCGAGUGGGGAAUAACUAGCCGAAAGGUUAGCUAAUACCGCGUACGCUUCUUGGACUUCGGUUCAGGGAGGAAAGCGAUGCCGAGGGUAUCGCGCUCUUGGAUGGGCUCAUGUCCUAUCAGCUUGUUGGG